AGAGUUUGAUCCUGGCUCAGGAUGAACGCUAGCGGCAGGCUUAACACAUGCAAGUCGAGGGGUAACAGGGAAGCUUGCUUCCGCUGACGACCGGCGCACGGGUGCGUAACGCGUAUGCAACCUACCUCAUACUGGAGAAUAGCCCUUGGAAACUAGGAUUAAUGCUCCAUAGUAUCACAAAUUCGCAUGUUUUUGUGAUUAAAGAAUUUCGGUAUGAGAUGGGCAUGCGUCCCAUUAUCUUGUUGGUGAGGUAACGGCUCACCAAGGCAACGAUGGGUAGGGGGACUGAGAGGGUGACCCCCCACACUGGUACUGAUACACGGACCUGACUCCUGCAGGAGGCAUCGAUGACGAAUAUUGGGCAGUGGAAGCAACUCUGACCCAUCCAUGCCGCGU
rnacentral:rRNA from 1 species